rnacentral:rRNA from 1 species
UACAGAGGUCUCAAGCGUUGUUCGGAUUCAUUGGGCGUAAAGGGUGCGUAGGCGGCGCGGUAAGUCGGGUGUGAAAUCUCGGGGCUUAACUCCGAAACUGCAUUCGAUACUGCCGUGCUUGAGGACUGGAGAGGAGACUGGAAUUUACGGUGUAGCGGUGGAAUGCGCAGAUAUCAGGAGGAACACCAAUAGCGAAGGCAGCUCGCUGGGACGGUACUGACGCUGAGGCGCGAAAGCGUGGGGAGCGAACAGG